GAUGAACGCUGGCGGCGUGCUUAACACAUGCAAGUCGAGCGUGUGAGUUCUUCGGAACGAUCUAGCGGCGGACGGGUGAGUAACACGUGGGCAACCUGCCUCAUAGAGGGGAAUAGCCUCCCGAAAGGGAGAUUAAUACCGCAUAAAAUUAUCGAGUGGCAUCACAUGAUAAUCAAAGGAGUAAUCCGCUAUGAGAUGGGCCCGCGGCGCAUUAGCUAGUUGGUGAGGUAACGGCUCACCAAGGCGACGAUGCGUAGCCGACCUGAGAGGGUGAUCGGCCACAUUGGGACUGAGACACGGCCCAGACUCCUACGGGAGGCAGCAGUGGGGAAUAUUGCACAAUGGGGGAAACCCUGAUGCAGCAACGCCGCGUGAGUGAUGAAGGUCUUCGGAUUGUAAAGCUCUGUCUUUGGGGACGAUAAUGACGGUACCCAAGGAGGAAGCCACGGCUAACUACGUGCCAGCAGCCGCCGUAAAAC
rnacentral:rRNA from 1 species